rnacentral:rRNA from 1 species
AGCGAACGCUGGCGGCAUGCCUAACACAUGCAAGUCGCACGGGGGGGCUUCGGCCUCCCAGUGGCGGACGGGUGAGGAACGCGUAGGGACCUGUCGAGGGGUGGGGGAUAACCGCGGGAAACUGCGGCUAAUACCGCAUGACGCCGCGGCGUGACAGCCGGGGCCAAAGGCGAAAGCCGCCCGCCGAGGGGCCUGCGUCCGAUUAGCUGGUUGGCGGGGUAGCGGCCCACCAAGGCGUCGAUCGGUAGCUGGUCUGAGAGGGUGAUCAGCCACACCGGGACUGAGACACGGCCCGGACUCCUACGGGUGGCAGCAGUGGGGAAUAUUGGACAAUGGGCGCAAGCCUGAUCCAGCAAUGCCGCGUGGGUGAAGAAGGUCUUCGGAUUGUAAAGCCCUUUCGGCGGGGACGAUGGUGACGGUACCCGCAGAAGAAGCCCCGGCUAACUUCGU